AGGAUCCGGCGAUGAGAGGUGUCCAGGUUUUUUCUUACACGCGUCCACGUGCAAGGAGAAAAGCCUUGCUCCUCGUAUGAGGAACUAAUCCGAAGCGCCGGACUCGUAAAAAACGAUCAAAACCUCGCCGGGGUCUUAGGACCUCACGCUGCAAGUCUCGCCGCAUUUCGGGAACUCACCGCUGCAAAUCUCGCCGAUUUACCCUUUCCAUUUGAGCCAUUGGUUGGCCAUUUCAGUUGAUAACAGAAGAGGAUCAAAACCGAACUGAACUGUGAUAGGUGUUGCUGCCGAAAAUCCGUAUGAGUUGAUCCUACACCAACAUAGAAGGCAGAGGCCCGGAUGUUUAUCCGAGGGAGUGGUAGUUGUAAAAAGAUGGGUAGGAUGGCUGUAGUAGCGAUGGUGAGCUCAUGGGUUAUUCCCAUAAUGAUAAUGGUCAAUCGCCUUGUUCCGGAGCCAUACAUGGAUGAGAUCUUCCAUAUACCUCAGGCUCAACAAUAUUGUAAAGGCAAUUUCAAAAGCUGGGAUCCCAUGAUUACUACUCCCCCUGGCCUGUACUAUCUUUCACUUGCCCAUGUUGCUUCUUUGUUUCCAGGCAUGUGGUGUGUGCAACCAGCUUCAUCAUUUUCUUAUGUGUGUUCAACUGCAGUGCUUCGCUCUAUGAAUGGUGUCUUGGCAGUUAUUUGCAGCAUUCUUGUUUAUGAGAUACUCACUCACUUGAGACCAGGCCUUGAUAAAAGAAAGGCAACUUUAUAUACAGUUGUCAUAGCAUUGUAUCCCGUCCACUGGUUCUUCACAUUUCUGUAUUAUACGGAUGUAGCUUCAGUAACAGCAGUGCUCGCUAUGUACCUGGCUUGUUUGAGGAAGCAUUAUCUAUUCAGUUCAGUGCUUGGAGCCUUGGCAAUAUUCAUUCGGCAAACAAAUGUUAUAUGGAUGCUUUUUGUUGCAUGCACUGGGGCUAUUAAUUUUUUGCUAGCUCCUAAUCGAAAAGAUAUACAACUGAAUGAUGCUGGUCUAUCAAUCAGGAAAAGUAUUCAAUUAACUGACAAUAGAAGUCUUCCAGGGGACUUGAAACUGAGAAAGCGAAAGAUUAGUGGUGCUGUGAAUGCUGCUAGCCAUUCUUUGACUGUAAUGAAGACCUCUUCAUUGACUCAUUCUUCAGGUUGUGGCACUUGAAGUGGGAGAUUUUGCUACAGUUCGGUCCAUUCUUGAUGGUAUUUCUGGCCUUUGUCACUUUUGUCCUUUGGAAUGGAAGUGUAGUCCUUGGUGCGAAAGAAGCUCAUGCCAUCUCCCCACAUUUUGCACAGAUAAUGUAUUUUGGUCUGGU